rnacentral:rRNA from 1 species
UACGUAGGGUGCGAGCGUUAAUCGGAAUUACUGGGCGUAAAGCGUGCGCAGGCGGCGCGUUAAGACAGGUGUGAAAGCCCCGAGCUUAACUUGGGAAUUGCGCUUGUGACUGGCGAGCUGGAGUGUGGCAGAGGGAGGUGGAAUUCCACGUGUAGCGGUGAAAUUCGUAGAUAUCAGGAGGAACACCGGUGGCGAAGGCGGCUUUCUGGACGACAACUGACGCUGGAGACGCGAAAGCGUGGGGAGCAAACAGG